rnacentral:rRNA from 1 species
GACGAACGCUGGCGGCGUGCUUAACACAUGCAAGUCGAACGGAAAGGCCCUGCUUUUGUUGGUUGCUCGAGUGGCGAACGGGUGAGUAACACGUGUGUAACCUGCCCUUGACUUUGGGAUAACUUCACGAAACUGGGGCUAAUAUCGGAUAUGAUCUCCUGCUGCAUGGUGGGGGUUGGAAAGUUUCGGCGGUUGUGGAUGGACUCGCGGCUUAUCAGCUUGUUUGUGUGGUAGUGGCUUACCAAGGCUUUGACGGGUAGCCGGCCUGAGAGGGUUACCGGCCACAAUGGGACUGAGAUACGGACCAGAAUCCUACGGGAGGCAGAAGUGGGGAAUAUUGCACAAUGGGCGGAAGCCUGAUGCAACAACGCCGCGAGCGGGAUGACGGCCUUCGGGUUGUAAACCGCUUUCGCCUGUGACGAAGCAUGAGUGACGGUAAUGGGUAAAGAAGCACCGGCUAACUACGUG